CUUGGUCAUUUAGAGGAAGUAAAAGUCGUAACAAGGUUUCCGUAGGUGAACCUGCGGAAGGAUCAUUAUUGAAUGAACUUGGUGUGGUUGUUGCUGGCCCUCUUGGGGGCAUGUGCACACCUACCAUCCUCAUCUCUCCACCUGUGCACCUCUUGUAGAUUUGGAAUUGAUUAUCCGAGGCAACUCGGUCGUGAGGACUGCUAGCACUUAGCUGGCUUUCUUUGCAAUUCCAGGUCUAUGUUUUUCAUAUACCCCAUUGUAUGUAACAGAAUGUAUCAUUGGGCCCUUGUGCCUAUAAACCUUAUACAACUUUCAGCAACGGAUCUCUUGGCUCUCGCAUCGAUGAAGAACGCAGCGAAAUGCGAUAAGUAAUGUGAAUUGCAGAAUUCAGUGAAUCAUCGAAUCUUUGAACGCACCUUGCGCUCCUUGGUAUUCCGAGGAGCAUGCCUGUUUGAGUGUCAUUAAAUUCUCAACCAAUAUCAACUUUUGCUGAUAAUGGCUUGGAUGUGGUGGUCUAUUUUGCUGGCUUCUCAGAUAGUCAGCUCCCCUUAAAUGCAUUAGCCGGUGCCCCGCGUGGACUGUCUAUUGGUGUGAUAAUUAUCUACGCUAUAGACAUCUGCAAUCAUAUGGGUUUGCGCUGCUUCUAACAGUCUGUUGAUUCAGACAAAACAUGACAAUUUGACCUCAAAUCAGGUAGGACUACCCGCUGAACUUAAGCAUAUCAAUAAGCGGAGGA
rnacentral:rRNA from 1 species